UUGAUCCUGGCUCAGAGUGAACGCUGGCGGUAGGCCUAACACAUGCAAGUCGAACGGCAGCACAGGAGAGCUUGCUCUCUGGGUGGCGAGUGGCGGACGGGUGAGGAAUACAUCGGAAUCUACUUUUUCGUGGGGGAUAACGUAGGGAAACUUACGCUAAUACCGCAUACGACCUACGGGUGAAAGCAGGGGAUCUUCGGACCUUGCGCGAUUGAAUGAGCCGAUGUCGGAUUAGCUAGUUGGCGGGGUAAAGGCCCACCAAGGCGACGAUCCGUAGCUGGUCUGAGAGGAUGAUCAGCCACACUGGAACUGAGACACGGUCCAGACUCCUACGGGAGGCAGCAGUGGGGAAUAUUGGACAAUGGGCGCAAGCCUGAUCCAGCCAUACCGCGUGGGUGAAGAAGGCCUUCGGGUUGUAAAGCCCUUUUGUUGGGAAAGAAAUCCAGCUGGCUAAUACCCGGUUGGGAUGACGGUACCCAAAGAAUAAGCACCGGCUAACUUCGUGCCAGCAGCCGCGGUAAUACGAAGGGUGCAAGCGUUACUCGGAAUUACUGGGCGUUAAGCGUGCGUAGGUGGUCGUUUAAAGUCCGUUGUGAAACGCCCUGGGGCUCAACCUUGGGGAACUGCGUGGAUACUGGGC
rnacentral:rRNA from 1 species